CUGGCCCUCCCAAGUGGUCCUGUUGGAUUGACACGGCUUUUCUUCCUCUGGGCAAAUUCCCUAGAGGGGGUGAUUCUGGCCUAUCUGGAGGCUUGAAGAGAAGUAAAAGGAGACCCUGGUUUUGUUCCAGGAAGCCAUGAGACUGAGCCUGAACACCUGCCCUCCAUACUUGGUUAUUCCACCGAAUACCACGUUGUCGAUAUGUAUCAUGAGGAGAUUAGAAAAUUCCAUGUGGUCGUGAGUGAAAGAAGAAUGCAUUGAAAUAAUAAAGGAAUGAAAUGAAGUUCCAGUCUCA